UCCUACGGGAGGCAGCAGUGGGGAAUAUUGCACAAUGGGCGCAAGCCUGAUGCAGCCAUGCCGCGUGUAUGAAGAAGGCCUUCGGGUUGUAAAGUACUUUCAGCAGUGAGGAAGGUGGGUAUGUUAAUAGCAUACUCAUUUGACGUUAGCUGCAGAAGAAGCACCGGCUAACUCCGUGCCAGCAGCCGCGGUAAUACGGAGGGUGCGAGCGUUAAUCGGAAUUACUGGGCGUAAAGCGCAUGCAGGUGGAUGAUUAAGUCAGAUGUGAAAGCCCGGGGCUCAACCUCGGAAUAGCAUUUGAAACUGGUCAUCUAGAGUACUGUAGAGGGGGGUAGAAUUUCAGGUGUAGCGGUGAAAUGCGUAGAGAUCUGAAGGAAUACCGGUGGCGAAGGCGGCCCCCUGGACAGAUACUGACACUCAAAUGCGAAAGCGUGGGGAGCAAACAGGAUUAGAUACCCUGGGAAUCCCACGCCGUAAACGAUGUCUACUUGGAGGUUGUGGCCUUGAACCGUGGCUUUCGAAGCU
rnacentral:rRNA from 1 species